rnacentral:rRNA from 1 species
UGGGGAAUUUUGUACAAUGGGGGAAACCCUGAUCCAGCCAUCCCGCGUGUGCGAUGAAGGCCUUCGGGUUGUAAAGCACUUUUGGCAGGAAAGAAACGUCAUGGGUUAAUACCCCGUGAAACUGACGGUACCUGCAGAAUAAGCACCGGCUAACUACGUGCCAGCAGCCGCGGUAAUACGUAGGGUGCAAGCGUUAAUCGGAAUUACUGGGCGUAAAGCGUGCGCAGGCGGUUCGGAAAGAAAGAUGUGAAAUACCAGAGCUCAACUUUGGAACUGCAUUUUUAACUACCGGGCUAGAGUGUGUCAGAGGGAGGUGGAAUUCCGCGUGUAGCAGUGAAAAGCGUAGAUAUGCGGAGGAACACGGAUGGCGAAGGCAGCAUCCUGAGAUAACAAUGACGCUUAUGCACGAAAGCGUGGGGAGCAAACAGG